AAGUUUCCUUCGGGAAGCGAGUAGAGCGGCGAACGGGUGAGUACAACGUAGGUAACCUACCCCCGAGACUGGGAUAACUUGUCGAAAGACGGGCUAAUACCGGAUAAGACCACGAAGGCUGCGGCCUUUGCGGUAAAAGGUGGCCUCUGCUUGCAAGCUACCACUCGAGGAGGGGCCUGCGCGCCAUUAGCUAGUUGGUGAGGUAACGGCUCACCAAGGCGAAGAUGGCUAGCUGGUCUGAGAGGAUGGCCAGCCACACUGGGACUGAGACACGGCCCAGACUCCUACGGGAGGCAGCAGUGGGGAAUAUUGCGCAAUGGGCGAAAGCCUGACGCAGCGACGCCGCGUGGGUGAUGAAGGCCUUCGGG
rnacentral:rRNA from 1 species